ensembl:snoRNA
AAGACUAUACUUUCAGGGAUCAUUUCUAUAGUUCAUUACUAGAGAAGUUUCUCUGCUCUGUAGAGUACUGGAAACCAUGAGGAGGACAGGUAGCAGUCUCUCCUGAGCGUGAAGCCUGCAUUUGGUGUUGCUUCGCUGCAACUGCCUUUUGCUAUUGAUGAUAGUUCUUCUCUCUUUUGGGAGAGUAGAGGGAGAGGAUGCAGUCUGAGUGGUA